rnacentral:rRNA from 1 species
ACGCUCGACACCUACGGAAGGCAGCAGUGAGGAAUAUUGGUCAAUGGACGCAAGUCUGAACCAGCCAUGCCGCGUGCAGGAUGACGGCUCUAUGAGUUGUAAACUGCUUUUGUACGAGGGUAAACGCAGAUACGUGUAUCUGUCUGAAAGUAUCGUACGAAUAAGGAUCGGCUAACUCCGUGCCACCAGCCGCGGUAAUCUGAGCGGGCUGGCAAGGC